GCAGUCGAGCGGACCGACGGGAGCUUGCUCCCUUAGGUCAGCGGCGGACGGGUGAGUAACACGUGGGUAACCUGCCUGUAAGACUGGGAUAACUCCGGGAAACCGGGGCUAAUACCGGAUGCUUGAUUGAACCGCAUGGUUCAAUCAUGAAAGGCGGCUUCGGCUGCCGUUUACAGAUGGACCCGCGGCGCAUUAGCUAGUUGGUGAGGUAACGGCUCACCAAGGCGACGAUGCGUAGCCGACCUGAGAGGGUGAUCGGCCACACUGGGACUGAGACACGGCCCAGACUCCUACGGGAGGCAGCAGUAGGGAAUCUUC
rnacentral:rRNA from 1 species